rnacentral:rRNA from 1 species
UACAGAGGUCCCAAGCGUUGUUCGGAUUCAUUGGGCGUAAAGGGUGCGUAGGCGGCGCGGUAAGUCGGGUGUGAAAUCUCGGAGCUUAACUCCGAAACUGCAUUCGAUACUGCCGUGCUUGAGGACUGGAGAGGAGACUGGAAUUUACGGUGUAGCGGUGAAAUGCGCAGAUAUCAGGAGGAACACCGGUGGCGAAGGCGGGUCUCUGGGCAGAUACUGACGCUGAGGAGCGAAAGCGUGGGGAGCAAACAGG